GGGCCCGCACAAGCGGUGGAGCAUGUGGUUUAAUUCGAUGAUACGCGAGGAACCUUACCUAGGCUUAAAUGUAUAUUGACAGAUUGGGAAACCAGUCCUUCUUCGGACAAUUUACAAGGUGCUGCAUGGUUGUCGUCAGCUCGUGCUGUGAGGUGUCGGGUUAAGUCCCAUAACGAGCGCAACCCCUAUCCUUAGUUGCCAGCGAGUAAUGUCGGGGACUCUAGGGAAACUGCCGGUGCAAACCGUGAGGAAGGUGGGGAUGACGUCAAAUCAUCACGGCCCUUACGUCUAGGGCUACACACGUGCUACAAUGGCAUAUACAAAGGGCAGCUACUUGGUGACAAGAUGCUAAUCUCACAAAACCGGUCGUAGUCCGGAUUGCAGUCUGCAACUCGACUGCAUGAAGCUGGAAUCGCUAGUAA
rnacentral:rRNA from 1 species